UGAAAACUCCGGUGCCAUGAGAUAGACCCACGUCCCAUUAGCUAGUUGGUAAGAUAACAGCCCACCAAGGCAACGAUGGGUAACCGGUCUGAGAGGGCGAACGGUCACACUGGAACUGAGACACGGUCCAGACUCCUACGGGAGGCAGCAGUGGGGAAUAUUGCGCAAUGGGGGCAACCCUGACGCAGCAAUACCGCGUGAGUGAAGAAGGUUUUCGGAUCGUAAAACUCUUUUAUUGGGGAAGAAGAAGUGACGGUACCCAAUGAAGAAGUCCCGGCUAACUACGUGCCAGCAGCCGCGGUAAUACGUAGGGGACAAGCG
rnacentral:rRNA from 1 species